AACGAACGCUGGCGGCAUGCCUAACACAUGCAAGUCGAACGAGACCUUCGGGUCUAGUGGCGCACGGGUGCGUAACGCGUGGGAACCUGCCCGUAGGUUCGGAAUAACUCCCCGAAAGGUGUGCUAAUACCGGAUAAUGUCUUCGGACCAAAGAUUUUUCGCCUUUGGAUGGGCCCGCGUUGGAUUAGCUAGUUGGUAGGGUAAAAGCCUACCAAGGCGACGAUCCAUAGCUGGUCUGAGAGGAUGAUCAGCCACACUGGGACUGAGACACGGCCCAGACUCCUACGGGAGGCAGCAGUAGGGAAUAUUGGACGAGGGAGGAAAGCGUGAUCAAGCAAUGCCGCGUGAGUGAUGAAGGCCUUAGGGUUGUAAAGCUCUUUUACCCGAGAUGAUAAUGACAGUACCGGGAGAAUAAGCACCGGCUAACUCCGUG
rnacentral:rRNA from 1 species